rnacentral:misc_RNA from 1 species
GUAACAAGGUUUCCGUAGGUGAACCUGCGGAAGGAUCAUUACCGAGUGAGGGCCCUCUGGGUCCAACCUCCCACCCGUGUUUAUUUACCUUAUUGCUUCGGCGGGCCCGCCUUCACUGGCCGCCGGGGGGCUCACGCCCCCGGGCCCGCGCCCGCCGAAGACACCCCGAACUCUGUCUGAAGAAUGAAGUCUGAGUGAAAAUAUAAAUUAUUUAAAACUUUCAACAACGGAUCUCUUGGUUCCGGCAUCGAUGAAGAACGCAGCGAAAUGCGAUACGUAAUGUGAAUUGCAAAUUCAGUGAAUCAUCGAGUCUUUGAACGCACAUUGCGCCCCCUGGUAUUCCGGGGGGCAUGCCUGUCCGAGCGUCAUUGCUGCCCUCAAGCCCGGCUUGUGUGUUGGGCCUCGUCCUCCGAUUCCGGGGGACGGGCCCGAAAGGCAGCGGCGGCACCGCGUCCGGUCCUCGAGCGUAUGGGGCUCUGUCACCCGCUCUGUAGGCCCGGCCGGCGCUUGCCGAUCAACCCAAAUUUUUAUCCAGGUUGACCUCGGAUCAGGUAGGGAUACCCGCUGAACCUAAGCAUAU